CUUUAACACUGAGGCGUGAUGACGAGGCACUACGGUGCUGAAGCAACAAAUGCCCUGCUUCCAGGAAAAGCCUCUAAGCAUCAGGUAACAUCAAAUCGUACCCCAAACCGACACAGGUGGUCAGGUAGAGAAUACCAAGGCGCUUGAGAGAACUCGGGUGAAGGAACUAGGCAAAAUGGUGCCGUAACUUCGGGAGAAGGCACGCUGACACGUAGGUGAAGUGAUUUACUCACGGAGCUGAAGUCAGUCGAA
rnacentral:rRNA from 3 species